CUGAUGAGCUGUGUACAUAUUGGUGAAUUUGUUUCUUGUUGUUGUUUUGUGGAAUCUGGUAUCACUACUGUUUGGAAGCAUGCCAUGCACCUCUUACAAAUAGAGAAACUGAGGCAAAACACCACAGGGAACUCAGAAACGCCAGUGGGAUGACUGAAUACCAAGAGAAGCCUGCUGCCAAGCCAACACCUGAGUUCCAAGUCAGGGACACAGGGUGUCAGUGUAAGGACAGAACUCGCUGCUGCAAGUUGCCCUCUGACCUCUGCUUAUGCAUGCACAGUGGCAUGCCAAUACAUGCAAACAAGGUACCAAAGUUUUAAAUUGCCAAAGUUUGCCAAGUUUCAAACAGAUACCAAGCUCAGGUCAAGGCCUGGACUGAGGAUAUGAAUGAGCAGAAAGACACCCUGUUCUUGCUGACAAGAUCCUUGGAAACUGAUAAAGGAGACACACUGAUAGAAAGACUUUGUCAAGAUGAUGCACACCGAGACAAACAACAGAGAAAAGCAGGCUGGUGUGGAACUCACAUUGUCCCCAGGACAGUGUCAGGAGGUAAGGCAGGAGGAUUGCCACCGCGUUGAGGCCUGUCUGGUCUAUAUACCAAGUUAUACAUCAACCUGGACUGCACAUCAAGACUCGCUCUGAAAAACAAAACAAAUGAUCAAACAAACAAACAAACAAAAAUCAAAUUACAAAAGCCAAAAGGAAA